rnacentral:rRNA from 1 species
ACCGGCGGCAGCUUACCAUGCAAGUCGAGCGGAAACGAUGAUAGCUUGCUAUCAGGCGUCGAGCGGCGGACGGGUGAGUAAUACUUAGGAAUCUACCUAGUAGUGGGGGAUAGCUCGGGGAAACUCGAAUUAAUACCGCAUACGACCUACGGGAGAAAGGGGGCAACUUGUUGCUCUCGCUAUUAGAUGAGCCUAAGUCGGAUUAGCUAGAUGGUGGGGUAAAGGCCUACCAUGGCGACGAUCUGUAGCUGGUCUGAGAGGAUGAUCAGCCACACCGGGACUGAGACACGGCCCGGACUCCUACGGGAGGCAGCAGUGGGGAAUAUUGGACAAUGGGGGCAACCCUGAUCCAGCCAUGCCGCGUGUGUGAAGAAGGCCUUUUGGUUGUAAAGCACUUUAAGCAGUGAAGAAGACUCCGUGGUUAAUACCCACGGACGAUGACAUUAGCUGCAGAAUAAGCACCGGCUAACUCUGUGCCAGCAGCCGCGGUAAU